CACAUCCUCUUGCUUACCACAGACUGUUUUUUCUUUGAACAGACUGUAUAGAAAAAGGAGGCAGAGAAACUUUCCUCUUUUCUACCUCAGUCAGGACUCUGUGUGUGCCCUAGCUGUAUUGUGAAAGGAGAGUAUUUG